CCCUUAGAUGUUCUGGGCCGCUCACGCGCUACACUGAAGGAGGCAGCGUGUACUCCUGGAUCGAAAGAUUUGGGUAACCCGCGAAUCUCCUUCGUGCUAGGGAUUGAGGUUUGCAAUUAUCCUUCAUGAACGAGGAAUUCCCAGUAAGUGCAAGUCAUAAGCUUGCGCUGACUACGUCCCUGCCCUUUGUACACACCGCCCGUCGCUACUACCGAUUGAAUGAUUUAGUGAGGACUUCGGACUGGGACCGAUGCGGCUUUCGGGCUGCGUCGGUAUUCUGGAAAGAUGUCCAAACUGUAUCAUUUAGAGGAAGUAAAAGUCGUAACA
rnacentral:rRNA from 1 species